rnacentral:rRNA from 1 species
GCUUAAUACAUGCAAGUCGUGCGGUAGAGAUCUUCGGAUCUUGAGAGCGGCGAACGGGUGAGUAACACGUAAAUAACCUGCCCCUAAAUCUGGGACAACUGAUCUAACGGUCACUAAUACCGGAUGUGGCUAUAAGGACUCAUGUUCUAAUAGUUAAAGAAGACCUCUUCAUGAAAGUUUUUGUUUAGGGAUGGAUUUGCGGACUAUUAGCUUGUUGGUGAGGUAACGGCUCACCAAGGCGAUGAUAGUUAGCCGACCUGAGAGGGUGAUCGGCCACAUUGGGACUGAGACACGGCCCAGACUCCUACGGGAGGCAGCAGUAGGGAAUAUUGCACAAUGGACGAAAGUCUGAUGCAGCAACUCCGCGUGAUGGAUGAAGGUCUUCGGAUUGUAAACAUCUUUUAUAGGGGAAAUGAUUAUCGUGCUAAUCAGCGAUAAAGUGACGGUACCUUAUGAAUAAGCCACGGCUAAGUACGUGCCAGCAGCCGCGGUAAUACGUAUGUGGCGAGCGUUACUCGGAAUCACUGGGCGUAAAGAGUACGUAGGCGGAUAUAUAAGUCAGGAGUGAAAUUUUGGGGCUCAACCUCGAAACUGCUUUUGAAACUGUGUAUCUUGAGUAUGUGAGGGGUUGAUGGAAUUUCUGGUGUAGCGGUGGAAUGCGUAGAUAUCAGGAAGAACACCGAUGGCGAAGGCAGUCAUCUGGCACAAUACUGACGCUGAGGUACGAAAGCGUGGGGAGCAAACAGGAUUAGAUACCCUGGUAGUCCACGCCGUAAACGAUGGACACUAGCUGUCGGAAGGCUUGACUUUUCGGUGGCGCAGCUAACGCUUUAAGUGUCCCGCCUGGGUAGUACGUCCGCAAGGAUGAAACCCAAAGGAAUUGACGGGGGCCCGCACAAGCGGUGGAGCAUGUGCUUUAAUUCGAUGCAACGCGAAGAACCUUACCUGGUCUUGACAUACCUUUGACCCCUGCAGAGAUGUGGGUUUAUCUUCGGAUACAGAGGAUACAGGUGCUGCAUGGUUGUCGUCAGCUCGUGUCGUGAGAUGUUGGGUUAAGUCCCGCAACGAGCGCAACCCUCGUCCUUAGUUGCCAUCAUUAAGUUGGGAACUCUAAGGAGACUGCCGUCGCAAGGCGGAGGAAGGUGAGGAUGACGUCAAAUCAUCAUGGCCCUUACGACCAGGGCUAGACACGUGCUACAAUGGGCGGUACAAAGGGUUGCUACACAGUGAUGUGAUGCCAAUCUCAAAAAACCGUUCUCAGUUCGGAUUGUAGUCUGCAACUCGACUACAUGAAGUUGGAAUCGCUAGUAAUCGCGGGUCAGCAUACCGCGGUGAAUACGUUCCCGGGCCUUGUACACACCGCCCGUCAAGCCACGAAAGAUGGUUGUGCCCAAUAUCGUAUCCUUAACCUUCGGGAUGGGAGCGACUAAGGCAAAGCUGUUAAUUGGGGCUAAGUCGCAACAAGGUA